UUGAUCCUGGCUCAGAACGAACGCUGGCGGCGCGUCUUAAGCAUGCAAGUCGAGCGUGAUUAGUUAGCUUGCUAACUAUGAAAGCGGCGGACUGGUGAGUAACACGUGGGUGACGUACCCUUCAGACGGGGACAGCUGGUAGAAAUACCAGGUGAUACCGGAUACGGUCCUUUAAGUUAGAGUUAAAGGAGGAAAGGAGCUAAGGCUCCGCUGGAGGAACGGCCUGCGUCCCAUCAGCUAGUUGGCGGGGAAAAGGCCCACCAAGGCAAUGACGGGUACCCGGCCUCAGAGGGCGACCGGGCACAUUGGGACUGAGAUACGGCCCAGACUCCUACGGGAGGCAGCAGCUAAGAAUAUUCCGCCAUGGGGGAAACCCUGACGGAGCGACGCCGCGUGGAUGAAGAAGGCCGGAAGGUUGUAAAAUCCUUUUGGAGGUGAGGAAAAAGUAAGGCAGGGAAUGGCCUUAUGGUGACUGUAGCCUCUGAAUAAGCACCGGCUAAUUACGUGCCAGCAGCCGCGGUAACACGUAAGGUGCGAGCGUUGUUCGGAAUCAUUGGGCGUAAAGGGCAUGUAGGCGGUUACGCAGGCCCGGAGUGAAAGGCAGGGGCUCAACCCCUGGACUGCUCCGGGAACCGCGCAACUAGAGUUACCGAGGGGGAGCCGGAAUUCCAGGUGUAGGGGUGAAAUCUGUAGAUAUCUGGAAGAACACCGAUGGCGAAGGCAGGCUUCUAGCGGAUAACUGACGCUGAGGUGCGAAGGUGCGGGGAGCAAACAGGAUUAGAUACCCUGGUAGUCCGCACAGUAAACGAUGCACACUGGGUGUCCGGCCAGGAGGCUGGGUGCCGAAGCAAACGCGAUAAGUGUGCCGCCUGGGGAGUAUGCCCGCAAGGGUGAAACUCAAAGGAAUUGACGGGGGCCCGCACAAGCGGUGGAGCAUGUGGUUUAAUUCGAUGGUACGCGAGGAACCUUACCUGGGUUUGACAUACAGGGGAAUCGUGCAGAGGUGCAUGAGCGUAGCAAUACGUCCCUGAACAGGUGCUGCAUGGCUGUCGUCAGCUCGUGCCGUGAGGUGUUGGGUCAAGUCCCGCAACGAGCGCAACCCCUACCGUCAGUUACUAACAGGUCAAGCUGAGGACUCAGACGGAACUGCCGGUGACAAACCGGAGGAAGGUGGGGAUGACGUCAAGUCAUCAUGGCCCUUAUGCCCAGGGCUACACACGUGCUACAAUGGUGAGUACAGAGUGAGGCUAAGCCGCGAGGUGGAGCAAAACGCAGAAAACUCAUCGUAGUUCGGAUUGGAGUCUGAAACCCGACUCCAUGAAGUUGGAAUCGCUAGUAAUCGCAUAUCAGCACGAUGCGGUGAAUACGUUCCCGGGCCUUGUACACACCGCCCGUCACACCAUCCGAGUUGGGGAUACCCGAAGUCGGCAGGUUAACCAGCAAUGGGGGCCGCUGCCGAAGGUAUGCCUGGUGAGGAGGGUGAAGUCGUAACA
rnacentral:rRNA from 1 species